UACGGAGGGAGCUAGCGUUGUUCGGAAUUACUGGGCGUAAAGCGUACGUAGGCGGCUUUGUAAGUAAGAGGUGAAAGCCUGGAGCUCAACUCCAGAACUGCCUUUUAGACUGCAUCGCUUGAAUCCAGGAGAGGUGAGUGGAAUUCCGAGUGUAGAGGUGAAAUUCGUAGAUAUCGAGAGGAACACCGGUGGCGAAGGCGGCCAACUGGACGAACACUGACGCUGAGACUCGAAAGCGUGGGGAGCAAACAGG
rnacentral:rRNA from 1 species